rnacentral:pre_miRNA from 1 species
GUAGGGCAAUCUGUCUCUCAGUAAGGAUAAAUUACUAUAAACAAAUUGAUCCUAGAUAGUUUUCCCUUCAAGUCAAACAUCUUG